CAGAGGUUCAUGUGUGGUCUCAGGCCUCCCUCAACAAGCAGCUACUGAGUAUUGGAGACAUCCAUGUCAAAAAUACUGUAAAAUGGCAUUAGGAGAGCUCCACAAGGCCUCCAUCAGGUGGUCAGGUCUGAGUCCCAAAGAUUCACCUCUCAUCCCAGAUUUGGUCAUCUGGAUUCUCUAGAUGGUAUCAGCUUCUCAGUUUUUAGAUGAGAGAACUGGAGCACAGAGAGGUCUGAUAUCUUGUUUCCAAUCACAAAGCUGAGAUCGAAACCAGGAAAUCUGGCUCCAGAGUUCAUGCUUUUAACUAGGACACUGAGACAACGAAUCAUCACCAGCUCCCUCCUCCUCCUCUUCUGCCUCCUCUUGCUCCUCCUCCUCCUCUUCUUCUGGAAAUAAAGUCCUAAAUGCAAACUUUCACUUGGAAUCAUUCAAGUUCUAUACCUGCCGCAUGGUUUAAAUAAAUGAUAAUGUUUACAUAGGUAAAGGAAACACAUUUAUGGACUGAAUUUGAUAGUUGUCUCCUAGUUAAAGCCAUUAUCUGACCAAGAGCGUUGGUCUGAUCAGCAGAAUUUUAUCCGCCUGAAUUCAGGGAAGUUGCUUGUCUACUUCAGGCUUCCUACUCUUCUGGAAAAGUACUGAACUCAAAAAGCAUAGAAAAUCAAUGCUCAAGAUCCUGGCUGAGUCUUCACGACAACUUGACCAAAUUCUGUGACCUGGCGUUGGCCCAGAGUAUCCGUAUGACACAUGCUCAUUGGAAAAUACCUUAGAAAACAUGAAAGAAAUUAAGAGAAUACCAUCUGUAUUAACUUUCUGGCAGUG
rnacentral:lncRNA from 1 species